ACUCAAAUGAAUUGACGGGGGCCCGCACAAGCAGCGGAGCGUGUGGUUUAAUUCGAGGCUACACGAAGAACCUUACCUAGCGUUGACAUGGUGUUGAACAAAGGUGAAAGCCGGCGGUUCGCAAGACAGCAUCACAGGUGCUGCAUGGCUGUCGUCAGCUCGUGCCGUGAGGUGUUAGGUUAAGUCCUGUAACGAGCGCAACCCUCGGUCGUAGUUACAAGUGUCUACGACGACUGCCCAUGACAAGUGGGAGGAAGGUGGGGAUGACGUCAAGUCAGCAUGGCCUUUAUCGCUAGGGCUACACACACGCUACAAUGGUCGGUACAAUGGGUCGCCAAGCCGCAAGGCGGAGCUAAUCCAAGCAAAGCCGAUCCCAGUUCGGAUUGUGGGCUGCAACCCGCCCCCAUGAAGCUGGAGUUGCUAGUAACCGCGCGUCAGCCAUAGUGCGGUGAAUACGUUCCCGGGCCUUGUACACACCGCCCGU
rnacentral:rRNA from 1 species